GACGAACGCUGGCGGCGUGCCUAAUACAUGCAAGUCGAACGCUUCUUUCCUCCCGAGUGCUUGCACUCAAUUGGAAAGAGGAGUGGCGGACGGGUGAGUAACACGUGGGUAACCUACCCAUCAGAGGGGGAUAACACUUGGAAACAGGGGCUAAUACCGCGUAACAGUUUAUUCCGCAUGGCAUAAGAGUGAAGGGCGCUUUCGGGUGUCGCUGAUGGAUGGACCCGCGGGGCAUUAGCUAGUUGGUGAGGUAACGGCUCACCAAGGCAACGAUGCAUAGCCGACCUGAGAGGGUGAUCGGCCACACUGGGACUGAGACACGGCCCAGACUCCUACGGGAGGCAGCAGUAGGGAAUCUUCGGCAAUGGACGAAAGUCUGACGGAGCAACGCCGCGUGAGUGAAGAAGGUUUUCGGAUCGUAAAACUCUGUUGUUAGAGAAGAACAAGGACGUUAGUAACUGAACGUCCCCUGACGGUACCUAAACAGAAAGCCACGGCUAACUACGUG
rnacentral:rRNA from 1 species